rnacentral:lncRNA from 1 species
CGGACCCGAGGCCUCAGCCAUCGUUUUACCCGGAGCUGGGGGUCGGCUCCCAUUUAGGCUGAGCCCCGUGGAAGUCCGGGGAGGCUGCCUUUUCUCCCACAUUACCACUAUUGAAUAUUGUUUUACGAAGGUUCCCGUGGACGUCUUCUGCACACCCUCCCAGCCCUUCCAAAGUAGUUUCUCAGUUUUAAUCAGGAGUUGGUGUUCAGUCUGAAGGAACAAAGGAAUCAACUGUGUCUUAGAGGCGGACAGGCUGGAGUCUGUGACACAUGUUGAUCUCUGAAGCAUUCCAGGAGUUGCUACCUUUUAUCACGUCAGUAAUUGGGUUCUGAAGGUAGUAAAAGAAGAACGGAAUGAUAAGCACUUUUGCGUUUUAAAAAUAUUCUUUAAUGGCACAUUUUACUUUGGGGAAAAAAGAAGACGUUUUUAGGAAGUGUUUGGAUUGUGAGCUAUUUCAGAACUCUGUUCUCAGGACUCAUUAUUUUAACAUUUGGGAGAAACACAGCCAGAGAUGCACACUUGACUGA